AGCGAACGCUGGCGGCAGGCCUAACACAUGCAAGUCGAACGAAGUCUUCGGACUUAGUGGCGGACGGGUGAGUAACACGUGGGAACGUGCCUUUAGGUUCGGAAUAACUCAGGUAAACUUGUGCUAAUACCUAAUGUGCCCUUAGGGGGAAAGAUUUAUCGCCUUUAGAGCGGCUCGCGUCUGAUUAGCUAUGUGGUGAGGUAAAGGCUCACCAAGGCUCCGAUCAUUAGCUGGUCUGAGAGGAUGACCAGCCACAUUGGGACUGAGACACGGCCCAAACUCCUACGGGAGGCAGCAGUGGGGAAUCUUGCGCAAUGGGCGAAAGCCUGACGCAGCCAUGCCGCGUGGAUGAUGAAGGUCUUAGGAUUGUAAAAUCCUUUCACCGGUGAAGAUAAUGACUGUAGCCGGAGAAGAAGCCCCGGCUAGCUUCGUGCCAGCCGCCGCGGUAACAC
rnacentral:rRNA from 1 species